GCCUUCGUAGCUCAGCUGGUUAGAGCGCCAGACUCAUAAUCUGGAGGCCGCGGGUUCAAGUCCCGCCGAAGGCA
rnacentral:tRNA from 1 species